GCCUCUUAUAUACUGUACAAAAUGAACGUCUGUCUACAAAGCCUCUACGAUUAUUUGACAUCAAAUGGGACAGGGUGCCGGCCUACCCAUAAGUAUGUAGUAAAACUCUGACAUGAUGACUCAUAGACUCGACUGCACUCCGAAUAAGGUGGAGUCUAACUAAUCCUUCGUUGAAUGCCAACCUCGUCUACUAUGAGGGCUCUUCAAACUGAGUACCUAUACCUGCAAGCAUGAAUGCAGCGUCCCAAGAAAAAGGACUUCAGUACGAGUAAUAUACUGACUAUGUAAGGCAUAACUGAAACAUAACAAUAAGUCAACAUUAAUUAAAAACAUAUAAGAAUCAACCUGAAUCUCUGAAGUGCCACCGUAUAUGCUUACUUAUUAUACUCAUAUAUAGACAUUGCUUCUCUUUAAGACUAUUAUCCAUAUCAUAUGAUGCAUGACUGCCCAACUGAUCAGUGGUAACUGCCCGAUCGGUCGUAGCGCGGUGGUAAAUGCAUGACUGCCCGACCAACCUUAGCUCAGUGGUAAAUGUGUAACUGCCUAACCGGCCGUAGCUCGGUGGUAAAUGCAUGACUGCCCGACCGGUGGUAAAUAAUGAUACAUAACUACCCAACCGGUGGUAACUGCCCCGCCGACCGUAGCGCGAUGGUAAAUGCAUGACUGCCCCACCGACCGUAGCUUGGUGGUAAAUGAAUGAAGUUGCAUGUACAUCUAUCCAUAUAUUAUAAAAAUUAAUAUUUCUAUCAUAUACCUCAAUAGGGAACUGGAUACCUACUUAGACAUGCUUGAAUAUCACUUUACGAGAAUGAAUAACAUAGACAUCCUUAACUGCUAAGAGUAGAAUCACUUAUGGAAUAGCAUUACGUUUACGUUUCGUUACUUGGAUCAUGCCAAAAGAAAGAAGGGAUAGCCUUAACAUACCUGAGUCACUUCUCUUGACAACACUAUCCUAUAUACCUGUAUGCCUGGCAAGAGUGCGAGACAGACUAACCAAGUAACUGCAAGGGUUCCCCUUUUCUCCAGAAUGUAUAAACAUAUCUUCCAACUCAUCAACCAUAUCAAUUGCUACAGUAUUAGCUACACAUCUUCCCGUGGAUGUUAAUUGUAGAGACAGGAGUGUGGAAAGUGGAAACAAUUGCGAUAGAUGAGAGACAAUUUCUUCUCUAAAUGCCCAGCAUGGAGCCAUGGCAGACAAUGUAUCUUAACUCCAUGAAGAAAAAUGUUAUAAUUAGUAUACAUACAGUAGAGAUACCUAAAUACUUUGAAGCUGAAUUCAGUUGAUGUCCUAAGAUGUUGUUUGGCAUAAUUGUGGGCAUGCUUAAAAUAGGAAAACAAUUAUCCAAGAGAACCAAGUUAUACCACUAAAUUUGCAAUUCUUAAAAAAGAUGGAUUUUCUGUUGGAAUAUGUUCCUUUUUGCUUUUUUAAUAAAAUGAGAUAAGUUGGUGCAUUGCCACCUAUACUAAUGACUUAAGAGUCAUUUUAAAUAAACAAGGAGGGCUUGCCACGUUCUUUGCCUAUCUUAAAGACGAGAUUAAUAACUAUAAUCUUAUUUAACUAAUUAAUCCCCCAUUAAGCAAUAAUCAACCAAUUACCCACAUAAUUAAGAAUUAUCUCACAUCACUUAAUAUACUAUUCACUUUUAAUAUAAUUUAUGUAUCCUAGUAUCGUGGUCAUGUGGUACCAUAUAAAAUAAAUACAUACACUAUUAUUUUAUUAAAACAUCCAUGCAAAAAAAAACACACAUUUUCUCAACUUCUAAUUUUCUUAAUCUCAUAUAAAGAGUACAAAUUUUUGUACGCUUACUUUUUGAAAUGGUAAAAAGAUAACCUUCUUUUCAUGUAAGAAAAUAAUUCAUAUCUUUACAAAAAUAUUCCACUCAAAAUACCAUAUAAUAAAUAUAUAUAACAGUAUCAAGGUUGUUAAACUUACGGGGUGUAACAUCCUUCCCUCCUUUAGAAAAUUCGUCCUCAAAUGUUAACUCUUAGAGGGUUGCAAAAUUUUCACUAGGGUCUCCUCUGUAAAUUAAACUUAAAACUCAAACUAUAUAUGAAGUCUUGACUAUUCACAACCUUUUGUACUUGAGUAUCUCAUAUAUUCUUCAUAUUUAACUUACUUACCUUUCAAUCUCGCAUCAUAUCUUUUGUUUCUUUCACAACUUCCCUCCCAUAUAAGUGGAAAUUACAUCUACGCCUUAAAGCUCUAUUGUGAUAGAACCUCUAGUGCAUACAAAAUUCGGAAACUUUAUACUGAAUUCUUACGACUUAGCUCUAUGGCACGAUCUGGAAACAACAGAAGGGUAACAUUCCUAAAUUCCCUAUAGCCUCUCAAUUAUAAGUGUGGCGUGCAACACACCCAUAAGUGAGACUCUACUAGGCACGACUUUGUAGACUCCCUAGGACACGACCCGCUCUGAUACCACUCUUUCACGCCCGAACCUAGGGAGGUGUGGCUGGCACUCGGUGCCAAGCUGGCCCGAGCGAACCACUCUGUAACUCAUUCUUUCUGUGAUCAUCAUGGGCCAACAUGGCCAUAACUCACAAUGUAUAACUAUAAGUGGUCCUACACUGUAUUAAUGAACCAUCUUUCUUAAAACAUGAAUACAUAUGUGCCGUCAAGGCCUCUGACAUACUAUACAAAAUGAACGUCUGUCUACAACACCUCUAUGAUUAUUUGACAACAAAUGGGAUAGGGUGCCGGCCUACCCAUAAGUAUGUAGUAAAAGUCUGACAUGAUGACUCAUAGACUCGGCUGCACUCCAAAUGAGGUGAAGUCUAACUAAUCCUUCGUUGAAUGCCAACCUCGUCUACUAUGAGGGCUCGUCAAACUGAGUAGCUAUACCUUCAGGCAUGAAUACAGCGUCCCAAGAAAAAGGACGUCAGUACGAGUAAUGUACUGAGUAUGUAAGGCAUAACUGAAACAUAACAAUAAGUCAACAUUAAUUAAAAACAUAUAAGAAUCAACCUGAAUCUCUGAAGUGACACCGUAUAUGCUUACUUAUUAUACUCAUAUAUAGAUACUGCUUCUCUUUAAGACUAUUAUCCAUAUCAUAUGAUGCAUAACUGCCCAACUGAUCAGUGGUAACUGCCCGACCGGUCGUAGCGCGGUGGUAAAUGCAUGACUUCCUGACCGACCGUAGCUCGGUGGUAAAUGUGUAACUACCUAACCGGCCAUAUCUCGGUGGUAAAUGCAUGACUGCCCGACCAGUGGUAACUAAUGAUACAUAACUGCCCAACCAGUGGUAACUGCCCGAUCGGACGUAGCGCGGUGGUAAAUGCAUGACUGCCCGACCGGCCGUAGCUCGGUGGUAAAUGAAUGAAGUUGCAUGUACAUCUAUGCCUAUAUUAUAAACAUUAAUAUUUCUAUCAUAUACCUCAAUAGGGAACUACAUACUUACUUAGACAUGCUUGAAUAUCACUUUACGAGAAUGAAUAACAUAGACAUCCUUAACUGCUAAGAGUAGAUCCACUUAUGAAAUAGCAUUGCAUUUACGUUUCGUUACUUGGAUCAUACCAAAAGAAAGAAGGGAUAACCUUAACAUACCUGAGUCAAUUCUCUUGACAACACUAUCCUAUAUACCUGCAUGCCUGGCAAGAGUGCGAGACAGACUAACCAAGUAACUGCAAGGGUUCCCCUUUUCUCCAGAAUGUAUAAACAUAUCUUCCAACUCAUCAACCAUAUCAAUUGCUACAGUAUUAGCUUCACAUCUUCCCGUGGAUGUUAAUUAUAGAGACAGGAGUGUGGAAAGUGGAAACAAUUGUGAUAGAUGAGAGGCAAUUUCUUCUCUAAAUGACCAACAUGGAGCCAUGACAGACAAUGUAUCUUAACUCCAUGAAGAAAAAGGUUAUAAUUAGUAUACAUACAGUAGAGAUACCUAAACACUUGGAAGCUGAAUUCAGUUGAUGCCCUAAGAUGUUGUUUGGCAUAAUUGUAGGCACGCUUGAAAUAGGAAAACAAUUAUCCAAGAGAGCCAAGUUAUACCACUAAAUUUGCAAUUCUUAA
rnacentral:lncRNA from 1 species